GAGCGGAGGUGGUACAUCCAUUGCCGAUCCAUCUGCAUCGUAUUAUGUGAGACCUUCGUAUUAGAUAAAGAACUUUAUCAAUUAGGUGGGGGAAAAGUAGAGUAAAAGUAUUUAUAAUAUUUAGUCCUUGCGAUAGAACUCUCCAUUCUUCUCAUUCUAAAAUACGUAAUCUCUAUUCUCCUCAUUCUAAAAAAAUCAACAAGUACUGUAUUUGUAACAUAAACUCAUUCCAAAAAACGUUCCAUUCUCCUUAUUGUAAAAUACUCUCCAUUCUCCUCAUUCUAAAAAAUCAACAAAUACUACAUUUCUAACAUAAAACUAAUUAAAAUACAUACUCUCCAUUCUCCUCAUUUUUAAAAAUCAACAAAUGUAGUAUUUGUAACAUAAAACUCAUUCUAAAAAACUCUCCAUUCUCUCCUCAUUCCAGC
rnacentral:lncRNA from 1 species